rnacentral:rRNA from 1 species
GACGAACGCUGGCGGCGUGCCUAAUACAUGCAAGUCGAGCGGAAGUUGAAGAGCUUGCUCUUCAACUUUAGCGGCGGACGGGUGAGUAACACGUGGGCAACCUGCCCUGCAGAUCGGGAUAACUCCGGGAAACCGGUGCUAAUACCGAAUAGUUUUCGCCACCUCCUGGUGGCGUACGGAAAGACGGUUUCGGCUGCCACUGCAGGAGGGGCCCGCGGCGCAUUAGCUAGUUGGUGGGGUAACGGCCCACCAAGGCGACGAUGCGUAGCCGACCUGAGAGGGUGAUCGGCCACACUGGGACUGAGACACGGCCCAGACUCCUACGGGAGGCAGCAGUAGGGAAUCUUCCGCAAUGGACGAAAGUCUGACGGAGCAACGCCGCGUGAGUGACGAAGGUUUUCGGAUCGUAAAACUCUGUUGUGAGGGAAGAACAAGUACCAACUAACUACUGGUACCUUGACGGUACCUCACCAGAAAGCCACGGCUAACUACGUGCCAGCAGCCGCGGUAAAAC